CACGCCGUAAACGAUGAGUACUAGGUGUAGGAGGUAUCGACCCCUUCUGUGCCGCAGCUAACGCAUUAAGUACUCCGCCUGGGGAGUACGGUCGCAAGACUGAAACUCAAAGGAAUUGACGGGGACCCGCACAAGCGGUGGAGCAUGUGGUUUAAUUCGACGCAACGCGAAGAACCUUACCAGAUCUUGACAUCCCUUGAAUUACUGUGUAAUGCAGGAAGCCCUACGGGGCAAGGAGACAGGUGG
rnacentral:rRNA from 1 species